rnacentral:rRNA from 1 species
AAUCAACGCUGGCGGCGUGCCUAACACAUGCAAGUCGAACGCGAAAGCCCCUUCGGGGUAAGGUAGAGUGGCGUCCGGGUGAGUAACACGUGGGUAAUCUGCCUUCGGGUUGGGGGAAGUAACCCACGGGAACGUUAGGGCGUAAUACCGCAUAAUGCAGCGGCACCUAAUGGUGAUUAGUUGUUAAAGCGGGGGAGUCGCAAGACCUCGCGCCUGAAGAGGAGCCUGCGGCAGAUUAGCAGUUGGUGAGGUAAUGGCUCACCAAGGCUUCGAUCUGUAGCUGGUCUGAGAGGACGGCCAGCCACACU